rnacentral:rRNA from 1 species
AUAUGCUUACAACAUAGCAUUAUUGCACCAGAUCCCAUUAGAACUUUGCAGUUAAGCAUGCUUAGGAUAGCAUAGUACUGGGACGGGUGAUCACCUGGGAAGUCCUAGUAUUUUACAUGCC